GAUGAACGCUGGCGGCGUGCUUAACACAUGCAAGUCGAACGAUGAAGCCCAGCUUGCUGGGUGGAUUAGUGGCGAACGGGUGAGUAACACGUGAGUAACCUGCCCUUAACUCUGGGAUAAGCCUGGGAAACUGGGUCUAAUACCGGAUAGGAGCGUCCACCGCAUGGUGGGUGUUGGAAAGAUUUAUCGGUUUUGGAUGGACUUGCGGCCUAUCAGCUUGUUGGUGAGGUAAUGGCUCACCAAGGCGACGACGGGUAGCCGGCCUGAGAGGGUGACCGGCCACAAUGGGACUGAGACACGGCCCAGACUCCUACGUGAGGCAGCAGGGGGGAAUAUUGCACAAUGGGCGCAAGCCUGAUGCAGCGACGCCGCGUGAGGGAUGACGGCCUUCGGGUCGUAAACCUCUUUCAGUAGGGAAGAAGCGAAAGUGACGGUACCUGCAGAAGAAGCACCGGCUAACUACGUG
rnacentral:rRNA from 1 species